UGGCCGCGGCCCCCCGCCCGGUGCUGCUGCUGCUGCUCUUCCUCACGAAGCUUCUUCAGCUUCUUAAGGUAGACCGGCCGGGUGCUCUCCGUCACGGGACCCGGAGACAAGCCGUAACGGCGGAGCUGAGAGAAAAGCUCCUCAUCCGAGAGCUGCUGGGGCGCCGAAGCCGCCGCCGUCGCCGCCGCCAUUUUCUCUCCAGGGUGUUUUACAAGCUCCGCGCUACCGGAAGUGACGCGCCGCCCUAGACCCUGAACUAGACCGGGCUGCGUCGCCCUUCCAGCGCCGCGGGCGCCUCGGCCAAUGGGAGGCGCGGGAGGAGCUCACCUGAGCGGGAAGGCGCCACCUGAGCGGCGCGGGCCGGCGUGACCGCGCUCGCUCCCUCGCUCGCCCGCACGGCGGGCCGCCGCCGUCCUGCCCGUCGCCGCCGGGUUCGCAGCCACACCUUGACCUCCCCCCGCCCCGGGGUCCUGCCACCGCGCUGCCGGCGUGGAAAGGAGCUCUGCCCUCAAGUUCAUGGCGACGCUUCCCUAGUUCGGGUCGGUGUAGAGACCCCGAGAGCGACCCUGGCUCGGCAAGUUUGCUGUCUGACUCUAGUAUGAUGACCUCAUAUGUCGUCAUGUGUCGUAUGUCAAAUGUCAUCAUUUGGAGAAAUGAAAGAGCCGUCUGAUGAUUCGUUUUGACCGAAGAAAGACAAGCUCACCAUGCAAAUACUCGUCUGAUCUAUCCAAACAAUACCCAAUAAAUGUUUAUUUAUUUUGAAAUA